rnacentral:rRNA from 1 species
AGCAGCCGCGGUAAUUCCAGCUCCAAUAGCGUAUAUUAAAGUUGUUGCAGUUAAAAAGCUCGUAGUUGAAUUUCGGAAUCAGUACGCUGGUCGUGCCUUAGGUAUGCACUGGUGUCACUGGUUUCUCCCUUCUGACGAACCGUCAUGCCAUUAAUUUAGUGUGGCGGGAAAUCAGGACUGUUACUUUGAAAAAAUUAGAGUGUUUAAAGCAGGCUCACGCUUGAAUACAUUAGCAUGGAAUAAUGAAAUAGGACGUUUGAUUCUAUUUUGUUGGUUUCUAGGAUCGACGUAAUGAUUAAUAGGGGAUAGUUGGGGGGCAUUAGUAUUCAAUUGUCAGAGGUGAAAUUCUUGGAUUUAUUGAAGACUAACUACUGCGAAAGCAUUUGCCAAGGAUGUUUUCAUUAAUCAAGAACGAAAGUUAGGGGAUCGAAGACGAAU